ensembl:lncRNA
CUCCCCUGCCCCCAAUAAAUUUUUUUAGUUGACUACUGAAGAAUAAAUCCCCCCAUAGGAGGGAGUGGCCUUUUAGUGAUCAAGGUGAACAUGUAUAGAAAAGGGUGUUCUGUUGGAAAAUGCUUAAGGCAUUCUCGGAUACGUUUGUUGAAGAGUUGGGCCUAGCAAGAUGGCAGCUCAUGUGCAAUAAGUAUUCCCGUGAAGUGCCACUGCUAAGAAGGACUCCAUUAGCUCCCCAAAAGAAGAUGUGUGAUCAGAAGAGGCAGCUGGUUAGAACCCCUAAUGGCUGCUGGACUACCACGCUUCAUAUUCUUAGUUUAAAAAGUUCCUACUUAAAAAGCGACACAAGAGACAGAACUUGGAGGCUUCACAAGUGAACAGCCAAGAGAAUGAAAAGGCCUUCUAUACUCUUUUUGUUUGUUUCAACAUGACUACAUUAAGCACCUCUGCAUUAUUUUAAAAUCUUCUUGACUAGGAGUAGCAAAGAAUCCUGUGGCACCUUAUAGACUAACAGAUGUUUUGGAGCAUGAGCUUUCGUGGGUGAAUACCCACUUCGUCAGCGGGUAUUCACCCAUGAAAGCUCAUGCUCCAAAACGUGUUAGUCUAUAAGGUGCCACAGGAUUCUUUGCUGCUUUUACAGAUCCAGACUAACACGGCUACCCCUCUGAUACUUGACUAGGAGUGGGAUUUUUCAGAAUUGCCUUCGGGAGUUAGGUGCCAAUGGGAGCUGAGUGUCUAACUAGGCUUACUUUAAAAUCUUAGCCUUCAACUGCUGUAAAUUUUCUGACGUUUGAUUUUUGUUGCAAUUUUGGAGUUAAAUGAAAAAAAAUCUGGAAAAAAAGUCAACUAAAGUUUGGUAUGUUUUUUGACCAGUUCUAUUAUCGAUAAAUGUUUCUCUAUGCAACCCAAAGAAAGAGUAGCCAUAACUGCUGUUGUAAAUGCCCUUGUUUCGUCCUAUCUGCAGUUUUAAUUUUGAGGACAUAGUGGGCUACUGAUUUUGCUCCUGUACAUUUUCCCUCACAGAUACCUGCAGGUGCACUUUGUACAACUUAGACGUCUAUGCAUUAUUGCCAACCUCAGGCCUCCAAAAUUGAGAGAUUAUCUUAAGUCACGAGAUUUUUUUUAAAAUAUACAUUUUGGAUUUGCUUUAUUUGCCUUACAGUUUUAGAAUAUUUAGGUUACAGUUGGGUCACAUGUUCAACCUUUACUCUGCAACCAUAAGGGCUAGGAACUUUUUUUAAAAAAUAAAAGCUGAGAUUGUCACA